rnacentral:rRNA from 1 species
GACGAACGCUGGCGGCGUGCCUAAUACAUGCAAGUAGAACGCUGAAGGAGGAGCUUGCUCUUCUGGAUGAGUUGCGAACGGGUGAGUAACGCGUAGGUAACCUGCCUGGUAGCGGGGGAUAACUAUUGGAAACGAUAGCUAAUACCGCAUAACAGUAGAUGUUGCAUGACAUUUGCUUAAAAGGUGCAAUUGCACCACUACCAGAUGGACCUGCGUUGUAUUAGCUAGUUGGUGGUGUAACGGCUCACCAAGGCGACGAUACAUAGCCGACCUGAGAGGGUGAUCGGCCACACUGGGAAUGAGAAACGGCCCAGACUCCUAAGGGAGGCAGCAGUAGGGAAUCUUCGGCAAUGGACGGAAGUCUGAACGAGCAAAGCCGCGUGAGGGAAGAAGGUUUUCGGAUCGUAAAGAUCUGUUGUAAGAGAAGAAAGAGUGUGAGAGUGGAAAGUUCACACUGUGACGGUACCUUACCAGAAAGGGACGGCUAACUACGUG